CCUAACACAUGCAAGUCGAACGGCAGCAUAGGAGCUUCGCUCCUGAUAGCGAGUGGCGAACGGGUGAGUAAUAUAUCGGAACGUGCCCUAGAGUGGGGGAUAACUAGUCGAAAGACUAGCUAAUACCGCAUACGAUCUACGGAUGAAAGUGGGGGAUCGCAAGACCUCAUGCUCCUGGAGCGGCCGAUAUCUGAUUAGCUAGUUGGUGGGGUAAAAGCCUACCAAGGCGACGAUCAGUAGCUGGUCUGAGAGGACGACCAGCCACACUGGGACUGAGACACGGCCCAGACUCCUACGGGAGGCAGCAGUGGGGAAUUUUGGACAAUGGGGGCAACCCUGAUCCAGCAAUGCCGCGUGAGUGAAGAAGGCCUUCGGGUUGUAAAGCUCUUUUGUCAGGGAAGAAACGGUAGUAGCUAAUAUCUAUUACUAAUGACGGUACCUGAAGAAUAAG
rnacentral:rRNA from 1 species